UACGGAGGGGACUAGCGUUGUUCGGAAUUACUGGGCGUAAAGCGCGCGUAGGCGGAUUUGCAAGUCGGGGGUGAAAGCCCGAGGCUCAACCUCGGAACUGCCUUCGAUACUGCAAAUCUCGAGUCCGAGAGAGGUGAGUGGAAUUCCUAGUGUAGAGGUGAAAUUCGUAGAUAUUAGGAAGAACACCAGUGGCGAAGGCGGCUCACUGGCUCGGUACUGACGCUGAGGCGCGAAAGCGUGGGGAGCAAACAGGAUUAGAAACCCCCGUAGUCC
rnacentral:rRNA from 1 species